GUGUCAAGAUCUGCUUCAAUCUCC
rnacentral:siRNA from 1 species